AUCUUAAAUACAAUCUUUAAAAUUGUAUUCUAUUUCCAGAUAUUAUUAUUUUUUUGCAAGCUUUUUUAAACUUGUACAAUCAUUUUUUAGUAGAGUCAAGUCUUAAAUUCUAUUUUUUGGAAUUCAAUGCUUCCUUCAAUUUACUUUACUUUAUGAAUGUGUAUUGCACUUUCCAGGAAAUUGUAUCUCUCUCUGGAACAGCCAAUAUAACAGAGUGAAUUGAAUUGCUAUUCCUCAACUUCAGGUUCUCCUCAAAUCUCUCUUCUUUCCUCUUUAUUUCUGAAUCCACUCUUCAAUUUUUUAAUAUUCAAACACAGUUGCUCCACACCUCCAUCGCCAUCAUUCGAUAUUCAAACAGAGUUGCAGCAUUAAUCAGCAAUCACAACCACCAGCUGCUGGGAGGACAUUAUUUGG